rnacentral:rRNA from 2 species
GGUUUUUUGAUUAUAAUUUAAAAUUUGAUCUGCUCAAUGAUUAAAUUAAAUAGCUGCAGUAUUUUAACUGUACAAAGGUAGCAUAAUCAUUUGUCUUUUUAUUAAAGUCUGGAAUGAAUGAUUUAAUGAAAAAAUUUCUGUCUCAAUUUAAUUAAUAAAAUUUUAUUUUAAGUUAAAAUUCUUAAAAUUUAUUUAAAGACGAGAAGACCCUAUAGAAUUUUAUAAAAUUUUUUAUUUUUAUUUUAUAAAUUAAUAUAAUUAAAUUUAAUUUUAUUUUAUUGGGGUAAUAAAAAAAUUUAAAUAAAUUUUUUUGAUUAAAUUCAUUUAUAAAUGUCAAUAAAUAAUUUAUCCAAAAUUUUUGAAAUAAAAAUUAAUUACCUUAGGGAUAACAGCGUUAUUUUUUUAGAAAGUUCUUAUUGAUAAAAAAGUUUGCGACCUCGAUGUUGAAUUAAGAUAAAAUUUUAAUGUAGAAAUUAAAAAUUUUAAGUCU